UACGUAGGGUGCAAGCGUUGUCCGGAAUUAUUGGGCGUAAAGAGCUCGUAGGCGGUCUGUCGCGUCGAAUGUGAAAACCCGGGGCUCAACCCCGGGCCUGCAUUCGAUACGGGCAGACUAGAGUUCGGUAGGGGAGUCUGGAAUUCCUGGUGUAGCGGUGAAAUGCGCAGAGUAUCAGGAGGAACACCGGUGGCGAAGGCGGGUCUCUGGGCCGAUACUGACGCUGAGGAGCGAAAGCCAGGGGAGCAAACGGGG
rnacentral:rRNA from 1 species